rnacentral:lncRNA from 1 species
UUUUUUUCUUUUUUUUUUUUUGGUAUUUUCUAGGGCCGCACCUGCAGCACAUGGAGGUUCCCAGGCUAUGGCUCAUGGCUCGAAUCAGAGCUGUAACCACCGGCCUACACCACAGCCACAGCAACGCGGGAUCCGAGCCACGUCUGUGACCUACACCACAGCUCACGGCAACGGCGGAUCCUUAACCCACUGAGCGAAGCCAGGGAUCGAACCGGCAACCUCCAGCAACCUCGUGGUUCCUGGUCGGAUUCGGUAACCACUGAGCCACGACGCAAACUCCCAUUACGUAGCCUUUUUGGUCUGACUUCUUUCGCUUAGCAAAAUGUUUCUAGGAUCCAUCCCUAUUGUUACACAAAUUAGUAGUUUGUUUACUCGUAUCACUGAUUACCAUUGUAUGGAAAUACCACAAUUCCAGGUUUAUCCCAUCCUAUCUAUUGAAGGACACUUUGGUUGCUUCCAGUUUUAGCUUCAAUAUAACACUGUAUUUGUUAGCAUCUCGAACUCAGCCAGCGAAAAACUCAGAAACACCUGCCGAGAGCUUCGAGGCAAGUAAUCCUAACAGGCAACCAGAUCUCUACUGCUUCACGAGGCUUCAGUUUGGAAUGAAAGUUUGGAGGUCAUGGAGUAGGAAUAAAUAGAUGCGCACUACCUUUCCCACCUGUAUUGUGUCACCCAACGCAACGCAUCGAGAGACAAGUCUGUGGGGAAAAACAAGGGAAACGAUGUGAGACAACGGAACAGUUUGCCUUGCAAGAGACUAGAGUCCUUCAGGACUGGUUUUCUGUUUACAAGUCAUCAAUGAGGUAAAGAUAACAGGCCCGAGUGUUUUACUAAGGAUGUUUCACAAAUUUCAAAAGCUUCCAAAAUCGUGGCACACAGAUUUUUCUCUGCCCUGUUAGAGGCAGUGGGUGGCUCCCAUGCAAGUAAGGAUCUAAAUGUAGUUUCAGAGAUAGUUGAUACAGAGGUAUGGAUCUGCGUUUGUCCUGGUGGGUCUGGGUUUUAUUCAUAAUUCAGGAAAUUUUAUACUCAGUUUUAGAAAAACUGUUGUCAGCACGUUAUUACUUGAAAAUGAUGUAUCAAAAUGUUAGGGUUUUUUUUUUUUUUAAAGAAAAUACGUUUAAUAGCUGUAAUCAGAGUUAACUUGCUUUGACCUAUAGUUCAAAUACUUUUUUAUUGAGAUAAUUUACAAUAUUAUGUUAGUUUCAGAUGUAGAACAUAGUGAGUCAAUAUUUUUAUAGAUUGCACUCCAUUUCAAGUUAUUAUAAAAUAGUGGCUACGUUUCCUUAUAAUACAUCCUUAUCUCUUAUUUAUUUUACACAUAGUAGUUUGUACUUCUUAAUCCUUUACCCCUAUCUUGCCCCUACCCCCUCCGCUCUUCCCAUGGAUAACCACAAGUUUGUUCUUUGUCUGUGAGUCUGUUUCUGUUUUGUUAUGGUGAAAUAAAAUUCUUUUUAAGGCAAGACAAGACUUUUUUUUUUUUUUUUUUUUGGCUUUUUAGGGCCACACUCACGGCAUAUGGAGGUUCCCAAGCUAGGGGUCUAAUCGGAGCUGCAGCUGCCAGCCUACGCCAGAGCCACAGCAAUGUACCUUCAUCACAGCUCACCAUCACCGGAUCCCUGACCCACUGAGCAAGGCCAGGAAUUGAACCGGCAUCCUCGUGGUUACCAGUGGGAUUCAUUUCCGCUGUGCCACAACGGGAACUCCAGGACAAGAAAAUUUUUGAACAUAAAAUUCUCCCUUGGCCUAUUAGGGCUGCUACCCUUCCUCUUUUGGAUGCAUUGUGCAUCUGCAUGAUACAUUAACUAGAUCCUUUUAGAAGGCACAGGAAAUCCUGCUUGCCAAAAAAAAAAAAAAAGCAAUUUUUUCCUGGCGCCAGCACAGUAAAUCCUUGGAAGAUAACAUUCCCUUCUCAAUCCUGUAAGGGGUCAAGAUGACCCACUACGUGCCUGUUGGACUAUGUAAACUUUGAUGCAUAACCCUUUAUCUCAAAAACUUAUAUAACUGUGCUUUGACCUCAGAGCUUUCUGAAACACUGUCUCCUAGGAUAUAAUCUUCAGGUUGGCUUGGAUAAUAUUUUGUACUCCUUUCUUAGAUUGACUAUCGAUUAAUUUUUUUCAUCAACAGUUAUAUUCAUUCACUUUUUAUUUUUUAGAUUCCACAUAUAAGUGGUAACAUAGAGUAUUGUCUUUCUCUGACUUAUUUCACUUAGCAUAAUGAGGUUAUUAUCUUUGAAAAGACUGAGUAAAAGUUUAGCUAUGUCUUCCAGGAGAUUUGGUAAUAGUUAGAUUUAAGAAAAAGACUUGAAAAAGGCAUUCUGUAAGCAUGUUUCUGCCAAGUAGAUUAGGCACAUGAAACAAAACCAAAAUAUUUCUACGCAGGAAUAUCUUGUCAAUAAACAAUUACUUCACACCCCCUUUUGAUUUUCUGGUCUGUUGUUUUGAUGGUGGUGACACUAGUGAAAAGUGACCAUGCGAAACACAAGGGGAGAAACAAAUGGGACAAUAUUAAAAACUGAAAAUCACACCAAAGCAUUACUAGUAUUAUAAUGGAAAUAAAUCACAUUAAAACUAAUUUAAGUCACUUAAAAUAAAAUUAAAUUAAAAAGCCAAAUAUGGAAUCUUCAUGCUUAAAAGAUAAACUAACACUUUAUUUUACAAGUGAAAUUAAAAUCUAUAAAAUAUGCAAAAUGUUCUAUAUUUUAUAUUCAAUAAACAUUAUACUUACUAAGUGAUGCACUUUCCCCCACACAUUAUAUUGAGUUUACCUUAAUAUUUUUAUGUUUUUAAAAGUAAUAUAUAUUUAUUAUGGAAAAUUAAGUUUAUAAAAUUAUAAAAAAAGAAAAUUAAAGUGAACCACAAUCCCAGUACCCAGAAACCACCAUCGUCUUUUUCAGUCUUUCUUUUCUUUCCAUACAUAUUUAUAGCCAUUUUUAAAAAUAAAAUGGGGAUCAUGCUGCAUAUACAAAGUAAUUUCAGUGUCCUAUAUGAACAGGAAAAGUAAAAAGAUAACCAUCAGAGUUCAUGCAGGUAUCUGCAAUAAAUUUUAAAAGUCAGUAUGUCUUAUUAACUGUAUAGCCAAAUAGGAACUUAUUUUCAGGCUUGGUGGAUAUAUUAAGCAGUUCAAAUCUUUUUGGGAAAAAAACUGGGCAUAUAAUAAAAGUGACAAACACAUAUAUCUUCCCUUUCUGUCUUGUGAGGAUUGUAACGCAAGAAAUGAAAGCCAAAAACAUUGAUCAAGAAGGAUGUGGGAGUUCCUGUUGUGGCGCAGUGGAAACGAAUUUCACUAGGAUCCGUGAGGAUGCAGGUUAGAUCCCUGGGCUCCCUCAAGGAUCUGGCAUUGCCGUGAGCUGUGGUGUAGGUCGCAGACGAGGCUCAGAUCUGGUGUUGCUGUGGCUGUGGUGUACGGCGGCAGGUGUACCUCUGAUUUGACCCCUAGCCUGGGAACUUCCAUAUGCC